GACAGAGGGUGCAAACGUUGUUCGGAAUUACUGGGCGUAAAGCGCGUGUAGGCGGCUAAGUAAGUCGGGCGUGAAAUCCCACGGCUCAACCGUGGAAGUGCACUCGAAACUGCAUAGCUAGAGUCCUGGAGAGGAAGGUGGAAUGCUUGGAUGUAGAGGUGAAAUUCGUAGAUAUCAAGCGGAACACCGGGAUGGCCGAAGG
rnacentral:rRNA from 1 species